UACAGAGGGGGCAAGCGUUGUUCGGAAUUACUGGGCGUAAAGGGCGCGUAGGCGGCCUGUUAAGUCGAACGUGAAAUCCCCCGGGCUCAACCCCGGGAACUGCGUCCGAUACUGGCAGGCUUGAAUCCGGGGAGAGGGAUGUGGAAUUCCAGGUGUAGCGGUGAAAUGCGUAGAUAUCUGGAGGAACACCGGUGGCGAAGGCGGCAUCCUGGACCGGCAUUGACGCUGAGGCGCGAAAGCUAGGGGGAGCAAAACGGGG
rnacentral:rRNA from 1 species